rnacentral:lncRNA from 1 species
ACACUACAACAGAAUUAGGUUAUAGGGACACAUGUUUGGGACACUUUUGAGUAAGUGUCCCAUUUAUCCUAAAACUUAAAAAAAUAUCUACUAAUGCCUAAAUAUAAAACCCAAUCCAACCAAAAAUAAAAGAUUACUCUACUCAACCCACCACACCCAGUCCAUUUGGCCCAAUUACAAACAGAAAAGAAAAAAAAAAUCAAUUACCAUAUUUUCUUCUCUCUUCACUCAAUCCACUGAAAUUCUAGAUGAAGAGUCUUUCUUGUCGUCCUCCUCCGCCACCGCAACCAACGAGAUAGAGUUUCGGCAGUUGCUAAAUGCUUAAAUAAGUGUUGGUAAAUUAGCAGCACUCUUUUAGAUUAUAGCGACACUCUUUAACUGUCACUAUAUACCUAGCGACCCCACAUAUAGCAACACUUUUUAAAAGUGUCGGUAAUUUUAGCUAGCAGCACUUUUUUGAUAUGUACCUAUAUUUAAAAGUGUCGCUAUAGACCGUUUUUGUUAUAGUGGUAAGCCUUGCCCCCUCUCAUGGUGAAACCCUAAAAUGGGUUUUGAUUGAGCUAAGAGUGGUUCAAGUGGAACUUUUAAAGGAUUAGAAGCUUUCUUUGCUUCUCUAAGAGAUCAAAACAAUGGAUUGGGUAUAUAUAGUGAAAUUGUGAGGUGAGCUUCAACAUCUCUCAUGGUAGAAUCCAAACUAGGAUUUGGAUUGAGCUAAGAAUA